rnacentral:rRNA from 1 species
AUUGAACGCUGGCGGCAUGCCUUACACAUGCAAGUCGAACGGUAACGCGGGGCAACCUGGCGACGAGUGGCGAACGGGUGAGUAAUGUAUCGGAACGUGCCCAGUUGUGGGGGAUAACUGCUCGAAAGAGCAGCUAAUACCGCAUACGACCUGAGGGUGAAAGCGGGGGAUCGCAAGACCUCGCGCAAUUGGAGCGGCCGAUAUCAGAUUAGGUAGUUGGUGGGGUAAAGGCUCACCAAGCCGACGAUCUGUAGCUGGUCUGAGAGGACGGCCAGCCACACGUGGACUGAGACACGGCCCAGACUCCUACGGGAGGCAGCAGUGGGGAAUUUUGGACAAUGGACGCAAGUCUGAUCCAGCCAUGCCGCGUGCGGGAAGAAGGCCUUCGGGUUGUAAACCGCUUUUGUCAGGGAAGAAAAGGCUCCUUCUAAUAUAGGGGGCUCAUGACGGUACCUGAAGAAUAAGCACCGGCUAACUACGUGCCAGCCGCCGCGGUAA